GGGUGCGAUCAUACCAGUGUUAAUGCACCGGAUCCCAUCGGAAUUCCGCAGUUAAGCGGGCUUGUGCUAGAGUAGUACUGGGAUGGGUGACCUCCCAGGAAGUCCUAGUGUUGCAUCCU
rnacentral:rRNA from 1 species